rnacentral:rRNA from 1 species
GAUGAACGCUAGCGACAGGCCUAACACAUGCAAGUCGAGGGGUAGCAGGAUGUAGCAAUACAUCGCUGACGACCGGCGCACGGGUGAGUAACGCGUAUGCAACCUACCUUCUACAGGGGGAUAGCCCGGAGAAAUCCGGAUUAAUACCCCAUAAAACAGGGACUCCGCAUGGAGAUAUUUGUUAAAGAUUAAUCGGUAGAAGAUGGGCAUGCGUUCCAUUAGCCAGUUGGUGAGGUAACGGCUCACCAAAGCAACGAUGGAUAGGGGAACUGAGAGGUUUAUCCCCCACACUGGAACUGAGACACGGACCGGACUCCUACGGGAGGCAGCAGUGAGGAAUAUUGGUCAAUGGGCGCGAGCCUGAACCAGCCAAGUCGCGUGAAGUAAGACUGCCUUAUGGGUUGUAAACUUCUUUUAUAUGAGAAUAAAAAGAGUUACGUGUAACUUAUUGCAAGUAUCAUAUGAAUAAGCAUCGGCUAACUCCGUGCCAGCCGCCGCCGUAA